AUAUUCAUCCAGGGGUGGCUGAACAGCCUGAGAUUACACCCAUUGAACCUGAUCUGGGUAAUGCCAGCGCAGGGAGUGAAGGUAUCCGGCAAG
rnacentral:ncRNA from 1 species